UAAGGAAUAUUGGUCAAUGGACGCAAGUCUGAACCAGCCAUGCCGCGUGGAGGAUUAAGGCCCUCUGGGUUGUAAACUCCUUUUAUCUGGGAAGAAAUGUACUUUUUCUUGAGUACUUGACGGUACCAGAGGAAUAAGCACCGGCUAACUCCGUGCCAGCAGCCGCGGUAAUACGGAGGGUGCAAGCGUUAUCCGGAUUCACUGGGUUUAAAGGGUGCGUAGGUGGGCAGGUAAGUCAGUGGUGAAAUCUCCGGGCUUAACCCGGAAACUGCCGUUGAUACUAUUUGUCUUGAAUAUUGUGGAGGUAAGCGGAAUAUGUCAUGUAGCGGUGAAAUGCUUAGAUAUGACAUAGAACACCAAUUGCGAAGGCAGCUUACUACACAAUCAUUGACGCUGAGGCACGAAAGCGUGGGGA
rnacentral:rRNA from 1 species